UGUACACACCGCCCGUCGCUACUACCGAUUGAAUGGUUCAGUGAGGCUUUCGGACUGGCCCAGGGAGGUCGGCAACGACCACCCAGGGCCGGAAAGUUAUCCAAACUCGAUCAUUUAGAGGAAGUAAAAGUCGUAACAAGGUCUCCGUUGGUGAACCAGCGGAGGGAUCAUUGUUGGAACGCGCUCCGGCGCAUCCAGACAACCCUUUGUGAACUUAUACCUAUACUGUUGCCUCGGCGUCAGGCUGGCCCCCUUGGGGGUCCCUCACCUCGGUGAGGAGCAGGCCCGCCGGCGGCCAAGUUAACUCUUGUUUUUACACUGAAACUCUGAGAAACAAAACAAAAAUGAAUCAAAACUUUCAACAACGGAUCUCUUGGUUCUGGCAUCGAUGAAGAACGCAGCGAAAUGCGAUAAGUAAUGUGAAUUGCAGAAUUCAGUGAAUCAUCGAAUCUUUGAACGCACAUUGCGCCCUCUGGUAUUCCGGAGGGCAUGCCUGUUCGAGCGUCAUUUCAACCCUCAAGCCUGGCUUGGUGAUGGGGCACUGCCUUUGAGACACAAGGCAGGCCCUUAAAUUCAGUGGCGAGCUCGCCAGGACCCCGAGCGCAGUAGUUAAACCCUCGCUUUGGAAGGUCUUGGUGCGGCCCUGCCGUUAAACCCCCAACUUCUGAAAAUUUGACCUCGGAUCAGGUAGGAAUACCCGCUGAACUUAA
rnacentral:rRNA from 1 species